rnacentral:rRNA from 2 species
UUCCUUGAACCGCAUGGUUCAAGGAUGAAAGACGGUUUCGGCUGUCACUUACAGAUGGACCCGCGGCGCAUUAGCUAGUUGGUGGGGUAAUGGCUCACCAAGGCGACGAUGCGUAGCCGACCUGAGAGGGUGAUCGGCCACACUGGGACUGAGACACGGCCCAGACUCCUACGGGAGGCAGCAGUAGGGAAUCUUCCGCAAUGGACGAAAGUCUGACGGAGCAACGCCGCGUGAGUGAUGAAGGUUUUCGGAUCGUAAAGCUCUGUUGUUAGGGAAGAACAAGUGCGAGAGUAACUGCUCGCACCUUGACGGUACCUAACCAGAAAGCCACGGCUAACUACGUGCCAGCAGCCGCGGUAAUACGUAGGUGGCAAGCGUUGUCCGGAAUUAUUGGGCGUAAAGGGCUCGCAGGCGGUUUCUUAAGUCUGAUGUGAAAGCCCCCGGCUCAACCGGGGAGGGUCAUUGGAAACUGGGAAACUUGAGUGCAGAAGAGGAGAGUGGAAUUCCACGUGUAGCGGUGAAAUGCGUAGAGAUGUGGAGGAACACCAGUGGCGAAAGCGACUCUCUGGUCUGUAACUGACGCU